GGCCGAUUAGCUCAGCUGGUUAGAGUGUCGUGCUAAUAACGCGAAGGUCUUGGGUUCAAUCCCCACAUUGGCCA
rnacentral:tRNA from 1 species